CUAGGACAUCAGCCUUUCUUUAUGUGCUUAUAGAUUAUCAAAUCAAAUCAUCUUCCAUAGAUAUAGGGGAAGGUUACUCUUCUAUAAACACACACACACACACACACACACACACGCACACACACACCCCUACCUCCCCCAAACAUAGCAGUAUCAAUGUGAGUUGGGUAGUGAGUGAGCUAAGAAACAGAAACUCAAAGGGGAAAAAGAUCAAUACAUAUCUUCAUAAACUUCCUGUGGCGUAAGGAGCACAACAGAUGAGCAGGAAAUCACUGAAUGAAUAAAGUAGUCACCAGUUGCGAUAAGCUUGGUGGCAGUAAGUGUGGUGAUGGGGAGUGUGUAACUGAGUGAAUGUGGUUAUGGACUGAAUGUUUGUGUCCCCCAAAAAUUAAUACGUGGAAACCCUACCUUCUAAUGUUGGGAUUUGAAGAUGGGGCUUUGAGGAGAAAAUUAGGUUAGGAUGAGGCUUUGAGGAAGAAAUUAGGUUUAGAUGAGAUCAUGAGAAUGAGAUUAGAAGAAGAGGAAAAGACUGGAGUUUACUUGCUUUCUCUCCUCUACAUGAGGACAUAGCAAGAAGAUGGAAGACAGCCGUCUGAGAUUCAGGAAGAGAGACCUCACCAGGAACUGAAUCAGCCACCACCUUAUCUUGAUGUCCCAGCCUCCAGGUACAGAGCAGGGAGUCUAAAGGACAAUACAAAUGAUGAUCUCAUGCGAUCCCCAAAUGGAAUACACAGGCAGAAAGCAUAUGAGGAGAAGCAUGAACCAAGACACAAAGCUAAUGGAGUCUGGAACUGGGGAGUUGAAGCCCAGAAAAAACAGAAGGACCAUGAAUUCUUUAAGCCAUAAAGAACGAGCUACAUACAUUUUGUUGUGGUUCCUGCUGCAGUGGGCAGACAGGCUGAGGUCUACCCGUGGCCCACCCUGACUGGAAGCUUAGAAGAAAGGGAAUUCUAGAAGUGUGGUUCAACAUAGCCAAGUUAACAAAGCCACCAAACCUAACAGCAUUGAUAACGGAGUUUAAAAGGAUGAUCCUGGAUGUUCUAAGGUUUGGUUGCUUGUAUUGGAGCUGGAUAAUGAUGCAUUGAAAAGAUGUUGGAUUUUCUGCAAUAGUCUCAUGAACACAUUAUUUGUUAAUUUUGUGGCCCUCUGUCACUUUAAUAAAGGACAACUCAAAUCUUGGGCUUCAACUGUAAAAGCCUUUAUUAUUGAUGCAUUCAAGCUGUAGAGAAGCAAGAGCAAGGUCAAGGGUGACAGAGUUCUUCCCCCUAUAAGGGAAGUGUUGACAACCUGCUGGCCCUUUCUCAGAGGUGAGCCAGUGUUCUAAACACAGUGGGAUAGCAAUAGCUGAGUCCAAUCUUAUCAUGAGGCUUUGCUUUACUAGAUGUACCCUGAGGAUGAUGUUAUUGAUUAAUGAUAGGUGAGUAGAUGGAUGGAUGAAUUCAUACCUAGUGACAUAUGUAGCUAACAGUGUGUGUCAUAUAAAAGCAAAAUAAUUGCUCAAAAUUAUAACUAUUCUUAGUGUUGAGUUUUUCCUGUAUAUUGUUACACAAAGAAGCACAUGUGAUCAAAUAAACGUGUUCUCAGCAACAUUCUGACAGUACUCACAAUACUAAGUUUCACAGGGUCACUCCUUAUUGUGCCCUUCAAUUUAAUCAAAUGGCACCACACAGAAGCACAGUUUAAGAAAGUGGUUUACAGGGCCCAGGAAGACGUAUCUGAGCCAGAAUAGCAUUUUAACAUAUAAAACAGUGUGUUUCUAUUUUUCUGCUACUAUUUUUUUCUUCCUAUUCUUACCCAGUUAAACCUCAGAGGGGUGAUUAGAGCCUUUUGAAGUUUUAAAAGUCUAAUUCUUAGAGGACAGAGGACAUUUAAAAGAAAAGCAGCAUACUGGGGCAGAACAUGGUUCUAUGUCCAGCCACAUGCCCCCCAGGGGACCCAAGGUUAUGAAGAGGAAAAAGGCUGAGAGGCAUAUGGCACAGAGGAGAGGGCGUCAAAAUCAGGGUUGAGGUUUCCUUGAGACUUCACGGAGACAAAGAGACAAAAGAGGAAACAAUGACUCAGAACAAUUGAGAACAUGUUGCACUAACAACCUGCAAAUCUCAGAGGCUUCAAAUACCAAAGUUCGUGUCUUGUUUAUUGUACACACCCAAGGGUGACCUUGGCAGGGCUUUGCUCAUUCCAGGUAUGCAGAGGCCUGUGCUGACAGAGCAGCUACCAUACUGAAUGCUGCCAGCUGCUGUGUCAGAGGAAGAGAAAUCACUGUUCUCAAGUUGAGAGUUAAAUUCUCCGGCCAAGGUGAUGCCUAUCUCAUCUGAUCCAAGCUCAGUGGACAGAGCUAGUCAGAUAGCCACCCUGAACCUCAGGGGUCCAGAGGAACCAUCCUACAAGUGAGAUAGGGGCUAAAACAGAAGCCUGAGAACCGCUAUCUUAUAGUGAAGCCACCUGGGUGCAGGGCAGAGGUGUAGUUCUCAGAACUGUUACUGUACUGCAAUUCUCAGAAGUGUUAAGGGUAAAAAUUUCCACUGCUACCCCCCUUCCCUUGCAACAAACCGCUGACUUUAGCUUCUGUACAGACAGCUUGCCUUGCACACCCCUGUGCCUCCCUGAACAAGGAUGUGGUUUUGCAGCUUAAAUACUUUGCUCCCUCUGAGCUCGGAGCCACAGGUUGGAGAGACAUGAGUCCUCUGAGGCCGCCAGCAAUAAAGACCCUGCAAUUUGGCAUACUUUUGUCUUGGUGUUGAUUUUCUGCACUUGCGCCGGUGCAACACAGGUGCCUGGAAAGAGGAAAGAAGUGUCUAUAUAUGAGCAGCACUGAUGAAAACCCCAGUCAGCAUCCAGAAAUAGCCCAGCCUCCAUCUAAGUCAACACCAUAAAAGCACAUCCUGAGCCCACCCAGCCUCAGUUUCCUCCUGGGGAAGUACUGUGCUUCACCUGAAUCAAUAGGCAAUGGGCUUCACCAGCAAGUUGCCUAUUGACUUUCAUGCAGGAGUUAAGUUUCUCAUGCCUAUAGGAUGCUGCUUGUUUCUCUGUGAAAGUGGCCCAGGAUUCUAAGCCCCUAAAAGAAAGAGUGGGGCCUAGGGCACUGUGGCAGUGAUGUGAAAGAGAAAGAUUAUUUUGGGUGGAAAUGGAUAGGUUCCCCCUGAGAUGAUAGCCUCCUAUGGCUGUAGCCAUUCAUUUACAAAACAUUAAUUUGGACUGGUCUCUUUCAGAUUCUGCAGUAGGCAAUGAGGCACUUUGCUACACUUAUUCAUGAGAAAAUAUUCUAGUCUUUUGAGGAUGUGCAAUGAGGUUGCAUUGAUGAAAGUUUCAAGAUUUCAUUUAAUUCUAAAAAUUUUAUGGUAAGUCUAUGAGUGAUAUUUUGUACAUCUAUGCAAGCAAGGUUGUGUAGUAAUAAAACACACGGAUUUUAAAGUCAGGCAGAAUUGAGUCAAAUUCUGUCCCUAGAUAGCCCAUGACACCUCAGAUGAUGUAUUUCAUCUCUCUUAACUUUUCUUAUGUAGAAUAAAAAUGAUUUUUAUAUUGCAGGGUUGGCUUUGCUUACCUUAAAGUGGAGAUAAUAUUUAUAUUAGUGUUGACCCUAGGAUUAAUAUUUAUACACAUAAGCUGAUUAACACAGAGCAUGGAACAUUAGAGAAAUGAUUGUCAUUACAUUAUAGCUAUUAUACAUGUUAAUCUGUAAGAUGUAUAUUGACUAAUUUCAACAACGAUUUAUUCAUUCCUACUGCUGAUGAAGCCUUACAGUGAUUAAGCAGAUGUGUUUUGGGGCCCUCAGAUCUCCCUGUUAAGUAAUGUUGAUUUAAGAUGCAUGCAACACUCUACCCUGCAGAGAGUGGACUCAUAAUGGAGGUGAGCUUAUAUGGAGGAAUUGGUGAGAAUCACAGUCAUUGGUAAUAUUAGGUGAAGACCGGAGAUUUACAAGGACCAAAAAAAGGAGCCAUCCAACAUUGAAAAGAAGAUACUGAAGUGUAAAUGUAGCCAAUAUGGAAAGGGGCAAUGUAGAGAGUUUGGAAUGGAUAAAGAAAAAACAAUGGAAAGAAAUUAUCAGGGAAAUUUAAGUGAACUAAGAAAUAAUAUAGAGACAGACAUUCAUUCAAAUCUUUGCAACAGUAUAGCAAAAUAAGUAAUUUGAGGUGGACUGAGUUCCCUGAAUCUCAGUGCUGUAUCUAAAACAUAAAAAUUCUAAAUCUAUCACACAACAUCUAGGAAACAUUUAAUAAGUGCCUUUUUAUUAUUUCUGAAUUGACUCUGU
ensembl:lncRNA